AUUGAACGCUGGCGGCAGGCUUAACACAUGCAAGUCGAGCGAGCGGCGGACGGGUGCGUAAUGUCUGGGAAACUGCCUGAUGGAGGGGGUUAACUACUGGAAACGGUAGCUAAUCCCGCAUACCAUCAGAUGUGCCCAGAUGGGAUUAGCUAGUGGGUGGGGUAAUGGCUCACCUAGGCGACGAUCCCUAGCUGGUCUGAGAGGAUGACCAGCCACACUGGAACGGAGACACGGUCCAGACCACUGGGAGAGGCAGCAGGGGGGAAUAUUGCACGGUGGGCGCAAGCCUGAUGCAGCCAUGCCGGGUGAGUGAAGAAGGCCUUGGGGUUGUAAAACACUUUCAGCGAGGAGGCGGUACCCGAAGAAGAAGCACCGGCUAACUCCGUGCCAGCAGCCGCGGUAAUUC
rnacentral:rRNA from 1 species